CAGUCGCCGCGGGAAUACGUAGGUGGCAAGCGUUGUCCGGAAUUAUUGGGCGUAAAGGGCUCGCAGGCGGUUUCUUAAGUCUGAUGUGAAGGCCCCCGGCUCAACCGGGGAGGGUCAUUGGAAACUGGGAAACUUGAGUGCAGAAGAGGAGAGUGGAAUUCCACGUGCAGCGGUGAAAUGCGUAGAGAUGUGGAGGAACACCAGUGGCGAAGGCGACUCUCUGGUCUGUAACUGACGCUGAGGAGCGAAAGCGUGGGGAGCGAACAGGAUUAGAGACCCCCGUAGUCCCUGUCUCUUAUAC
rnacentral:rRNA from 1 species